GAACACAAAGACGGGGGAGAGGCCUUCUCUAGGCCCCGCGGCCUGGCCGGCUGCGGCCGGGGGCUUGAUGGUGCGGGGGGCGUGUGUCCCUCAGGGCCGCUUGUUCUGGAUGAGAAGUGAGGAUGAGUACCUGGCUACGUUUUGUUCUCAGGAACCUCCUUCCUCCCUCUGGAGCUGACCUCUGGAUGCUCCCUGGUUUCACAGAUGAGCUCGGUCUGAGGGGUUUAUUCACAGAGAAUCAGGAGACAGUCUUCAAAAUGACCAGUGAACUGAAGAAGCUGGGCUGGGAGCAUCUGUAUCUUCCCAUUUGAAAACCUCGCCUGUUGCUUGCUCCUACCGAAACCUGGAAAUGCCGGGCCAGCAACGUGCAAGGCAGCCUGCACACCUCAACAGUCCUUCUGCUGGUCCUUACACCUACAACCAGCUCGAAAAGUUACUCAGCAGUGAAAAUCAAGGCAUUUCCCAAAUGCUUUCAGUGAGGGAGAAUACUGAUGUUGAACCUCAUCAGCCUGCUGCAAGCACAUUGGUAUUCAUGCAGCGACUUCAGAGCCACACUCCUGAGCAGGGUGAGACUAAAACAAGCAGACACUUCUCCCAGAUUUGUUUCUGCAGCAGCCCAACUAGGGACCUCAUCAGGAUGAGAGAACAGAGGAACAGCUGCCGCCGUCUCCUGAGGAGCCCCCCAGCCAGGAGCUGAGCAGCCUCAAAUCCCAGAGAGCUGCUGCUGGAUCUCCCAUAGCUUUGGGCUUCCCGUGGCAGAGCUGAUCCCAGCUGGGGCUGGGAGACACCAUCCUGGCAGCAGCAUCACCUCGAGCCAGCGAGGAACCAACCCUGCCCCAAAGUGACCCGCUUCCCUCUUGGCUUUUGGGCAAAAGUUUGUUUUUCGCUGGAAAAAUUCCUCAUGAGCCUUUCUUGACACAUUUGCGUGUUACACAGUCGCUC
rnacentral:lncRNA from 1 species